UCCAACGUUAGGCUCGUCCGGAAAAGCAGAAGUACUUGCCGCCCAUUCAGAGGCAAUUCUGAAAUUGGAUACAAACCUGUAAGGGGGAAAAUGCGAAGGUGACUCUGGGACUUGGUCUGGACAGGGGUUUGGGCAUCGGUGUGUCCAAUCUAGAGAUACCUGAAGGAAGGAGCCCGGACUGAGGCAUUUUCACAACCCGGGCCCGGGGGCCUGCAGGCAGAUUCUCUGUGUUCGAUACUGUGGAUCGAACAGCCUGGAAGGAAUUCAGAGACUCAGAAGGCAACAAUUGGACUGAGAGGAAGAGAGGCAUCUGGCAGAGAAACAUGAAGACCAGCAGGCUGUGAAUCAUCAGGUCUUGCAUAUGAUCAUCUUUUGACUGGAUUGUGGGGCGGACAGAAUUGAGAAAAUGACUGAGCAGCUCUAGUUCAAUUUAAUAUCAGAAAAAUGUAUGCAAGGAAAUUAUAGACCAGUGAGUCUUACUUCAGUGGUUGGUAUGUUGAUGGAGAAGAUCCUGAGAGGCAGGAUUUAUGAACAUUUGAAGAGGUAUAAUAUGAUUAGGAAUAGUCAGCAUGGCUUUGUCAAGGGCAGGUCGUGUCUUACAAGCCUGAUUGAAUUUUUUUAGGAUGUGACUAAACACAUAAUGAGGGUAGAGUAAUAGAUGUAGUGUACAUGGAUUUCAGCAAGGGAAGGCAUUUGACAAGGUACCCCGUGCAAGGCUUAUUGAGAAAGUAAGGAGGCAUGGGAUCCAAGGGGUCAUUGCUUUGUGGAUCCAGAACUGGCUUGCCCACAGAAGGCAAAGAGUGGUUGUAGACAGGUCAUAUUCUGCAUGGAGGCCGGUGACCAGUGGUGUGCCUCAGGGAUCUGUUCUGGAACCCCUACUCUUUGUGAUUUUUAUAAAUGAUGAGGAAGUGGAGGGAUGGGUUAGUAAUUUUGCUGACGACUCAAAGGUUGGAGGUGUUGUGGAUAGUGUGGAGGGCUGUCAGAGGUUACAGUGGAACAUCGAUAGGAUACAAAACUGGGCUGAGAAGUGUUGGAUGGAGUUCAACCCAGAUAGACGUGAGGUCGUUCAUUUUGGUAGGUCAAAUAUGAUGACAGAAUAUAGUAUUAAUGGUAAGACUCUGGCAGUGUGGAGGGUCAGAGGGAUCUUGGGGUCUGAGUCCAUAGGACACUCAAAGCUGCUGUGUAGGUUGACUCUGUGGUUAAGAAGGCAUACGGUGUAUUGGCCUUCAUCAACCAUGGGAUUGAGUUUAGGAGCCGAGAGGUAAUGUUGCAGCUAUAUAGGACCCUGGUCAGACCCCAGGGUGAUUUAAGGUGGGGGGUUAUAUGGGAGACAGGGUUUGAGGGUUGGCACAACAUUGUGGGCCAAAGGGCCUGUAAUGUGCUGUACUAUUCUAUAUUCUAAUGUGCUCAGUUCUGGUCUCCUCACUACAGGAAGGAUGUGGAAACCAUAGAAAGGGUGCAGAGGAGAUUUACAAGGAUGUUGCCUGGAUUGGGGAGCAUGCCUUACGAAAAUAGGUUGAGUGAACUCAGCCUUUUUUUCUUGGAGCGACAGAGGAUGAGAAGUGACCUGAUGGAGGCGUAUAAGAUGAUGAGAGGCAUUGAUCGUGUGGAUAGUCAGAGGCUUUUUCCCAGGGCUGAAAUGGCUAGCAUGAGAGGGGAUAGUUUUAAUGUGCUUGGAAGUUGGUACAGAAGAGAUGCCAGAGAGUGGUGAGUGCAUGAAACAGGCUGCCAGCAGUGGUGGUGGAGGCAGAUAUGAUAGGGUCUUUUAAGAGACUCUUGGACAGGUACAUGGAGCUCAGAAAGAUAGAGGGCUAUGGGUAACCCUAGGUAAUUUCUCAGCUAGGGACAUGUUCGGCUUAGCUUUGUGGGCUGAAGGGCUUGUAUUGUACUGUAGGUUUUCUAUGCUUCUAAUAUACAUCCUGAAAUUCUUAUUCUUCCCAAACAUCCACAAAAACAGAGGAGUGCCCCAAAGAAUGAAUGACAGU